AUUUAAAUAGUUUAAUUUAAAAUAUUGAUUUGUGGCGUCAAUGAUGUAAGAUAUUACUUUAAAUA
rnacentral:tRNA from 1 species